rnacentral:rRNA from 1 species
UACGUAGGGUGCAAGCGUUGUCCGGAAUUAUUGGGCGUAAAGCGCGCGUAGGCGGACCUGCAAGUCGGGGGUGAAAGCCCGAGGCUCAACCUCGGAACUGCCUCCGAUACUGCGGGUCUCGAGUCCGGGAGAGGUGAGUGGAAUUCCUAGUGUAGAGGUGAAAUUCGUAGAUAUUAGGAAGAACACCAGUGGCGAAGGCGGCUCACUGGCCCGGUACUGACGCUGAGGCGCGAAAGCGUGGGGAGCGAACAGG